rnacentral:rRNA from 1 species
GAUGAACGCUAGCGGGAGGCUUAAUACAUGCAAGUCGAGCGGUAACUAAUUAAUAGCAAUAUUAGUUGGCUAGAGCGGCGCACGGGUGAGUAACGCGUACAUAACCUACCCUAUACUGGGGGAGUAGCCUUGGGAAACUGAGAUUAAUACCCCACUGGUAUUGUUUGGUCCACCUGGUUGAAUAAUUAAAGUUGCGGCGGUAUAGGAUGGGUGUGCGUCUGAUUAGCUAGUUGGUAGGGUAACGGCCUACCAAGGCUAUGAUCAGUAGGGGGCGGUGAGAGCGUGGUCCCC